rnacentral:rRNA from 1 species
AGAGUUUGAUCCUGGCUCAGGACGAACGCUGGCGGCAUGCCUAAUACAUGCAAGUCGAGCGAACAAUUUAAGGAGCUUGCUUCUUAAAUUGUUAGCGGCGGAUGGGUGAGUAACACGUGGGCAACCUACCUUACAGAUGGGGAUAACUCCGGGAAACCGGGGCUAAUACCGAAUAAUCCAUUUCUUCGCAUGAAGAGAUGUUGAAAGACGGUUUCGGCUGUCACUGUGAGAUGGGCCCGCGGCGCAUUAGUUAGUUGGUGGGGUAACGGCUCACCAAGGCGACGAUGCGUAGCCGACCUGAGAGGGUGAUCGGCCACACUGGGACUGAGACACGGCCCAGACUCCUACGGGAGGCAGCAGUAGGGAAUCUUCCACAAUGGGCGAAAGCCUGAUGGAGCAACGCCGCGUGAGUGAAGAAGGAUUUCGGUUCGUAAAACUCUGUUGUAAGGGAAGAACAAGUACAGUAGUAACUGGCUGUACCUUGACGGUACCUUAUUAGAAAGCCACGGCUAACUACGUGCCAGCAGCCGCGGUAAUACGUAGGUGGCAAGCGUUGUCCGGAAUUAUUGGGCGUAAAGCGCGCGCAGGUGGUUUCUUAAGUCUGAUGUGAAAGCCCACGGCUCAACCGUGGAGGGUCAUUGGAAACUGGGAGACUUGAGUGCAGAAGAGGAUAGUGGAAUUCCAAGUGUAGCGGUGAAAUGCGUAGAGAUUUGGAGGAACACCAGUGGCGAAAGCGACUGUCUGGUCUGUAACUGACACUGAGGCGCGAAAGCGUGGGGAGCAAACAGGAUUAGAUACCCUGGUAGUCCACGCCGUAAACGAUGAGUGCUAAGUGUUAGGGGGUUUCCGCCCCUUAGUGCUGCAGCUAACGCAUUAAGCACUCCGCCUGGGGAGUACGGUCGCAAGACUGAAACUCAAAGGAAUUGACGGGGGCC